rnacentral:tRNA from 1 species
GUCCCCGUAGCUCAGUUGGAUAGAGCGGCGGAUUCCUAAACCGCAGGUCGCGUGUUCGAAUCACGCCGGGGAUACCA